GAGUAGAUAGAGAGAGAAAAAAGAGAGAAAAAGAGAAAAAAAAAAAAGGAAAAAUUUCUGCAGAAUUUUCGCAGAAAAGAGCUGAUUUUCAGCCAUUUUGGAACUCAAUUAUCUCUUUUAUCGCAGCUUCAUUCGAUAAGAUUUCAGUUUCCACGUAAACUAGGACGUGAAAAGAGAAAUUUUUUUUUAGAUACCUCUUGCAAAAAACGUCUAGACACCUCUAAAAUCGAAGCUCGAACCUGCUUACCUGGCAGAAAAUCUGAAAAAAAAAGUUAAGCCAGGGUUGGGGAGAAGGCAAAUUCGUGAUCAAAAUUUGAUGUCGAAUCCAGUCAGCUCCUGGACGUUCUUCGGCAGAAUUUCGCAGCUUCAAUUUUUCGUUCGGGGGAGUGUUGUCGUCAAAUCCUCCUCUUCAUUUAGCUCUAUAAGACGAUUAAGGUAACUUAAGUCACCUUAUUCUUGUUAUAUACACUCAGAUUUGUUCCCAAAAGAGGCUAAAAAAUCUGCUACUUCAGUAUCUUUCUUCCUGUUUCAUUUUUUAGAAGUUGCUGUCUUCAAUUGGAGGUUAUGAAACUUUGUUAAUGUUUUUGGUGAUGUUUGCUAAGAGUUUGGGAAAGAAUUUGACUUGAUUUGUUCAGGUCUUGACUGUUUUCCUUUUAUGAUGCAACAUUUGUGUCACUCUUUGCUAUGUUUGACAAACCCAGAAGAGUCGCAGGAGAAAGAAUAAGAAACCAGCGAAGAAGAUGGUGGCUUCGAUUGCUGACAUUUUUUUUUCCAAACAUUGCAUUUUGACCCCACAACUUUGGCCUAAUUCCACUACAGCCCAAACACUUCUGCAAUUGAAUCAAUUUUCCCCCUAUUUUGUCUUAAUCAUUUUUUGCAUGUUUAAAUCUGUCUCUUGAGCAACUUAUUUUCUGGUUUUAGGAUAUAAUUAGGGUUUAAUAAUUUUAGCUGCUUUUUUUUUUUAUCAUGUUGGGUUUUAGUGAAAUAGGUGAUUUGGGUUAAAAGGUUAUUUUGUUUGAGUUUUAAGUGAGUGGGUUUGAGUUAAUUUUUUUGGGUUUUUGACUUGGGAUGUAGGGUUAAAACCCAUCCGUUUUGUUGGAUUAUUUUCGGUCAAAUGAUGGACUAAACCCGCUCCUUUUACCUUGGACUUUCGAUUGGGCCAAAUGGCUUUUUACCCAAAGAAAUGUUGAGGAUGGUCUAGUGGUCCAAUUCCUUAAGUGACCUGGUGACGAUAAUUGCAAGUCAGUCCCUAACAUUUUUAGUAAUUAUUUUGUGGCUCUAAAAACUUUAGAUUUUUUUCAUUUAGAUCCCUAAUUUAAUUGUAAUUGGGUUCCUAAACUUUAUUUUUCUUUAAAUUUGAUCCCUAAUCUUUGUAAUAAUUAUAAUUUAAUCCUAAAAACUUUCUUAGUUUUUACAAUUAGGUACCUAAUGGUUUUGAUUUCUUAAAUACAAGUUUUCUUUCUUCUUUAACUAUUAAUUAUACUUCAUUUAAGUGCUUUAAUUCGUAUAUUUCAUGAUUAUUUUCAUUUCUUUAUAAUUAAAUUGGUGCCUUGAUCAUUUUGUUUAUUUUGGAGCAUAAAUAUGGCAAAUUUAACCCCCAUUUAAUCACCACUUCAAGGGAGGAUACCUCUUUGAUUAUUUUAAACUCUUUUAUGUGCUCCAAUGUGUUUAAUUGCACAUUUUGAGUGUUUUUUUUAAUUAGUCAUUCUUAUUCAUUUUUAAGUUUCAUUUGUUUUAUUUACUUUUUGAUGAUUAUUUGAAAGGCAUCAAAAUGGAAAGGUGUAAUAGACAGGUGCUAAAGACAUGUAUUUAGCUAGCCUAUGUAAUAGAUAGGUUUUAAUCUUUCUUAAAAAUGUAUUUAGUUAAAUAAAUGUAAUAGUUAGGUUAUUA